rnacentral:rRNA from 1 species
UGGCUCAGAAUCAACGCUGGCGGCGUGCCUAACACAUGCAAGUCGAACGCGAAAGGGGGCAACCCUGAGUAGAGUGGCGUACGGGUGAGUAACACGUGGAUAAUCUACCUUUGGGUGGGGAAUAACUCUGCGAAAGUGGAGCUAAUACCGCAUAAAGUUCUUAAGAGGAAUCUUUUAAGGACCAAAGAGGGGGACCUUCGGGCCUCUCGCCUGAAGAGGAGUCUGCGGCCGAUUAGCUAGUAGGUAGGGUAAAAGCCUACCUAGGCGACGAUCGGUAGCCGGCCUGAGAGGGUGAACGGCCACACUGGCACUGAAACACGGGCCAGACUCCUACGGGAGGCAGCAGUGGGGAAUUUUGGGCAAUGGCCGAAAGGCUGACCCAGCAACGCCGCGUGAAGGAUGAAAUCUUUCGGGAUGUAAACUUCGCAAGUCAGGGAAGAAUAAGCGUACGCUAAUAGCGUGCGCGAUGACGGUACCUGACGUAAGCCCCGGCUAACUCCGUGCCAGCAGCCGC